rnacentral:rRNA from 1 species
CCCCUAGAUGUUCUGGGCCGCACGCGCGCUACACUGAACAGUUCAACAAGUCUUAACCUUGGCCGAUAGGUCUGGGUAAUCUUUGAACGCUGUUCGUGAUUGGGAUAGACCUUUGCAAUUAUGGGUCUUCAACGAGGAAUUCCUAGUAAACGCAAGUCAUCAGCUUGCAUUGAUUACGUCCCUGCCCUUUGUACACACCGCCCGUCGCACCUACCGAUUGAAUGGUCCGGUGAAAUCUUCGGAUCUGAGAGAUGUCUGAUUAAUUUCGGACGCCUUUUGGAAAAGUUGCUUAAACCUUACCAUUUAGAGGAAGGUGAANUCGUAACA